GAUGAACGCUGGCGGCGUGCCUAAUACAUGCAAGUCGAGCGAACGGACGAGAGGCUUGCUUCUCUGAUGUUAGCGGCGGACGGGUGAGUAACACGUGGAUAACCUACCUAUAAGACUGGGAUAACUUCGGGAAACCGGAGCUAAUACCGGAUGAUAUUUUGAACCGCAUGGUUCAAAAGUGAAAGACGGUCUUGCUGUCACUUAUAGAUGGAUCCGCGCUGCAUUAGCUAGUUGGUAAGGUAACGGCUUACCAAGGCAACGAUGCAUAGCCGACCUGAGAGGGUGAUCGGCCACACUGGAACUGAGACACGGUCCAGACUCCUACGGGAGGCAGCAGUAGGGAAUCUUCCGCAAUGGGCGAAAGCCUGACGGAGCAACGCCGCGUGAGCGAUGAAGGUCUUCGGAUCGUAAAACUCUGUUAUUAGGGAAGAACAUAUGUGUAAGUAACUGUGCACAUCUUGACGGUACCUAAUCAGAAAGCCACGGCUAACUACGUG
rnacentral:rRNA from 1 species